rnacentral:lncRNA from 1 species
UGUUGGUGCAAGGCAGGUUCCCCUCCCCACCCUCCCUCCUUCCUUCCUCUAUUUUUUCCUGCGCCCCCCAUCUCUAAUAUCAUUUUCACCCACCCACAGCGACGCUGCGUGUUUGUAAUUUUCUUCUGACCCUAAUGGCUCCAGUUUCCCCUCAGUAUUUAAGCAGAACAAGACAGAGCCCAGCCCGCACCUCCUCCGGGCAGGACUCCACAGCCUCCUCUGGGCUCGCCGAAAACCCUGUCCUU